GAAAUCAUUUUAUUGCACUUGACCUUAAACUGUCUCUCCGUAACCUUUCUGCCAACAUUAAGGCCAAGUAGGUGCAAAUUAAGGUAAGAAGACAGAGUGGAUGGGAGUGGGUGGGUGAACAGGACAGAGGAGGCCGCCAGGUGGAUUUCUCAUUGGCGGAGAGGACGCCCAAACCCUCAGACCUGGCACCCAGCCUGGACAGGGUCGGGAUCCUGCAGGCUCCACGGAGCAGCCCCUUUGUUUGUAUUCUAAUGUGUUUUGCAGCACAGAACAGAAGCUGCACUGUUAUGCUGGAGCAUUUCAUGAACCUCAAGUCUUUUAUCUGAAAUCAAAGCUUAAAUGACUUCUUUUAUCUGCUGGCUCGUGGGCCAGCCCCGUCCAGUGGCUGAAUGAAAAGGAGGAAGGCCAGUGCUGUCCCAUUUGCAGGCUUCAAUGAGCUCGACAGCCCUGGGAUCUCAGAGAGCAGAGAGCUGAUCUGGUUGCAGGGACUUCAAAGACAACAGGCGCAGGAGCCCACACUGCCUCAGACUGGCCAUGGCCAAGCCCCGGCUGGAUGGCACAAUGCGAGGCCUUCCCUGACGGCCAGGCCCGUCCACCCUCGGUCUGGGGAGGGGGUUGGCUGGGAGGUGGGCAGCGUCUUCCAGUGGUGAAGAUGAAGUCACCCAAACGAAACCCUUCUGCCUACAAUUAAGAGUGCAGUUUCUCUGCACAGAAGGUGGAAAUCGUGUUUUUAUGACCAGAGCUUCCUUCUUCCCAUGACUUCCCCUUAUAAGAUUGUGUCUUCUCUGGGAACAAUUAGAUAUUAAUUAUGCGGUAAAUGCUUUUUAUAGUGCCAAAGAUUCUAUAUAUGCCUGAAAGAAAAUAAAAUAAAACAAACAACACUGUUCUUCAAGAAAAAUGGAGUCUCACCGGUGAGCAAUUCUUAUGAAACAGGAGAAUUUGGCUUGGCAGAAGCCACGGGGCCAUCCCAGGUACCACUGUGAGCUGCUCCAUCCUGCCUCCGGCACCUCCUCUUCACCCGGCACCUCCUUGUGCCAUCCCGAGGCCGUCAUCCCUCCACCCUCCCCAGCUCCACGGAGCCCUCCAGUGCUCCAGGCCACUGACUCUCCGAGUGGGUCCCUGAACCAGCAGCAUCAGCAUUACUCUCUGCAAACUUGUCAGAAAUGCAAAUUCUCAGAACACCCCAGACCUUCUGAAUCUCAGGACAGUGACCGGAUGUACAAGAGUUGGAGAACCAGUGCCUGGGCCUUUUCUUCCCCUCUUCUCUCCAUUACGAAAGAAAAACAAUGCUACAUCCCUUCCAGUGGGGAGCCCAUGCGCACUGUGACACGCUGUGCUGUGUGCAUUCCACCGCCACUUCUGCUCAGUGUCCCGACACAGCAGACAGUGAGAGCAGCAGGACAGGGCAAAGGUACAGCCAGUGCUCACGCUGCUGUGAUCUACACACAGCCUCAGCCAGACCCAGCGCAUGGGUCUAACUCUCAGGUAUCUAUUCAGACAUGGUCUCACGGAGGGCCAGGCAGCCUUGGGGCCCAAUCACAAGCCAGUUAGAAAGGCCACGGAGUACAACAAUCACUGGUUAAUGAUGUCAUAACACUUUGAGUGCUGCCUACUAAUUAUGACAUCAUUAACAAUCUCCAGCACUUUGCAAAGAGAUCCCCAAGUUUGCUCUUUCACCCACAGUAAAGACACUCCCAC
ensembl:lncRNA novel transcript, antisense C18orf1